rnacentral:rRNA from 1 species
GACGGACCACACGAACGUUAUUCGGAAUUACUGGGCUUAAAGGGUGCGUAGGCGGUGCAGUAAGUUGGGUGUGAAAUCCCUCGGCUUAACCGAGGAAUUGCGCCCAAAACUACUGUGCUUGAGAAAGAUAGAGGUAAGCGGAACUUAGGGUGGAGCGGUGAAAUGCGUUGAUAUCCUAAGGAACACCGGUGGCGAAAGCGGCUUACUGGGUCUUUUCUGACGCUGAGGCACGAAAGCUAGGGUAGCGAACGGG